CAUUAACGGGACAUUCCAAGUGACCAAGUCGUAACUUUAAAAAGUUCCUUCAAAACAAAUUAAAACGUUAAACAACGGAGAUCGGAUAAUGAGUUUACUGUCUUUAAUUUCAGGUGAAGUUUUCAUGUAGGCCUGGCCAACUAGGUGCUCGUGACAAUAGAAAUAAAAUUGUCUAAUCCAAUAAUGCAAGUUCGCAAGCUAUGUCUUCUGAAGCUAAACAAUUUCUGUUGCAAGAUUUUGUAAAUCUUCAAGAUAUUUUUGAUGCCUUCACCAGACCCAAUUCUUUGCUGCUAUCUAUUUUGCGGCACCACAGCAAGAAAAUGCUGCCACUUAAGAUUUUGUGGUAAUCGCCACUUAGUUCUAAUUUAGGAGGGCAAUGUUAAUCCCUCUCCUCUGUUUUGGAAACCUACAAGAGAUUACUGGAAUUGAAGACUGAUAAUUUGUGAAGGUCAAUCACCCGCUGUGAUAACCAGGAGGAUGAGGAGGGCUCUGGUCGAACGGGGACUUGGAAGGCGGAUGAUCUGAGAAAACCUUUUGGAGGGUCAUGAGUCUAUCCGGAAAUCCUGCUAUGACUUAUCGCUCCCUAGCAAAACUGGCCUCGUACUCUUCUCUCUUCUUCACCGGCCAGGUUUAUCGUUUAUGUUCCUGUAAUUGUUGUCCGAUGUGGCACGUUGUUGCAGCCUAUGCUGGUGAAAGCUCUUAUAGUCUUAUUGCAUGAAGUUAAACUGGCUGUUCCUUGGUCCUGCUGUCAUAUUAUGGAAAUUGCAUCAUUAUUUUGUUAAAUUGUCCUUGUGUCUUAGUGUACCGCUUAUGUGAUAAGAAGGGACAAAAGCAGAUAUAUGGGGAUGUUUUAUGUCAAACAAAUAAUAAACAUGUUUUCGGGAUUGGGGUAGGAAAGUGGAGGAUGUUGGAGGGGGAGGACAUUUCAAGUAUGGACAAAUUUAAUUAAUCUGUAACUAUACAAACAUAUACCCACUAAUUAAUCUCCAAACCCCACAAACUUAUACCUUCUUAUCUUCAAACCCCAUAAACAUAAACCUAACAACUCUCUAACUUACACCCUAAUCCUUAUUAACCAGUGUUAAAUCAUAACAUUGUAAUGUGUAAUUGUAUGUAAUAAAAAAGUUUUA